rnacentral:lncRNA from 1 species
CUCAGGAGUCAAGUGCCCUUGAGUUCAAUCCCCAGUACCCUCCCCUCCAAAAAAAAAAAAAAAAAGAAAAACUAAUAAGUGCUGUGGAGGAUGUAGGGAAAAAGGAACAUGUAUACACUAUUGCUGAGAACGUAAAUUAGUAUAAUUACUGGAAAUAACUAUGGAAGUUCCUCCAAAAGCUAAAAAUAGAACUACCAUAUGAUCCAGUGAGACCACUCCUUGGUAUAGAUCUGAAGGAAUGAAAGUAGCAUACUAUGAAAAUACCCCGAAUACACAUAUCUAUUGAGGCACAAUUCAUAAUAGCCAAGUUAGGAGAUCAGCCUACGUGCUCCAAAACAGAUGAAUGGAUGAAGAAAAUGUGCUGUAAAUACACAAUGGAGCAUUAUUCAACCAUAACAAGUCCAAAAUCCUGUCAUUUACUGGAAAAUGAAUGGAACUGGAGAUCAUUGUGUUAAGCAAAAUAAACCAGA